GAACGAACGCUGGCGGCAUGCCUAACACAUGCAAGUCCCCGAACGAGCCCGUUCGGGUUAGUGGCGGCACGGGUGCGUAACGCGUGGGAAUCUGCCCUUGGGUUCGGAAUAACUCGCCGAAAGGCGUGCUAAUACCGGAUGAUGUCGAAAGACCAAAGAUUUAUCGCCCAAGGAUGAGCCCGCGUAAGAUUAGGUAGUUGGUGAGGUAAAGGCGUCACCCAAGCCGACGAUCUUUUAGCUGGUCUGAGAGGAUGAUCAGCCACACUGGGACUGAGACACGGCCCAGACUCCUACGGGAGGCAGCAGUGGGGAAUAUUGGACAAUGGGCGAAAGCCUGAUCCAGCAAUGCCACGUGAGUGAUGAAGGCCUUAGGGUUGUAAAGCUCUUUUACCCGGGAUGAUAAUGACAGUACCGGGAGAAUAAGCUCCGGCUAACUCCGUG
rnacentral:rRNA from 1 species